UAGAUUAUGCUAACUUACUUCUUAGGCAACCAUUCGAUACUUUUCUAUAGGGAAACUGCGUUAUUAAUAGUUCAACCUAAUUAUAAGUAAUAUUUUCCAUCACCAGCCGUAUCAAUUGAUUUUCUUAAAUAAUAAUUCAAAAAUGGAUUAGAGUACGGUAAUAAUAAACUCACCUUAAUUCUGCUGACAAUUCUUUUGAUCUUGUGUUCGCAGCCUUGUUUUCUUCAAAGGCCACCGUACUCUGCACCACAAAAAAAAAAGAUUAAUUGUUGGUUAAUUUUCAAUUAUUAAACAUAAACUUAUCAUCAUCAAAUCGAUUUAGGAUUAAUACCACAAUCUCAUCGAGAAAACAUAAUUCUCAAGAAAAGAAAAAAAGAAAUCAGAUGAACACAAAUCACAAAUUGACUAAAAUCAAACGAAACCUUAAACGGAUGAAAACAAGCAAAGUAAAACUCGAAGCGAAACAUAGAAACACAAAAUAAAAAGACUGCGAAGAAACAUACCUCUUGACUUGAUCAUUGCAUAUUUGCUCUCUCUCUCUCUCUUGUCGCCUAUAAUUGCUCUCUCUUGUCGCCUAUAAUUGCUCUCCAACAGAUUCUUGAUUUUCUUUUUGUGUAUGAGUUUGUGAGGAAUGAAUGAAAGAUGAUGAGGAAAGGAAGGAACGAGAGAGCGCUUCUUAUAGAAGUUACGAAGAGGAGGAGGAGCCAACGGCUAGAUCAUUACAACGGUCAUAUUUUUAUUAUUAUUAAUAGAUAUUUAUUAGUUAAUAACCAUGUUCGAAAUUGCGCUAGGCGUGAGUCGGGCGGUCGGCAUGCGCCUAGCGAGUAGCAAAAAAAUCGGAGAUUAAUCGAUGAUUAAUUGGGGAUUAGUUUUUGUAAGUUUAAUAAAUAAAUAGCUAUAUGUACUUGUUUUGUAGCGAAAAUAUAAAAUGGAAGCGUAGCGUAGUGGUUCGCGUGGGGUCGUCGUUUCUCACAGGUUGCCAGUUCGACGCCAGGUAGGCAUAUAAAUUUCUUUUUUUGUUUUUUUGUCAUUAAUGAGGUAGAAUUGACGAAUUUAGCCCUGUCUUCUUCCUCUUAAUUUUUUUCUGGAAACCUUACGUUGGCCGUCGAGAGUUUUUCUUCACUUUUUCAUCUUAUUUUUUCAUGCUUUAUCUUCUGAUUGUUAUCAAAUAUGACAGAUCUAUCUUAAACAUAUUGAUCUCUAACUUGUAAAACAAAAAAAACAUGAUUUUUUUAAGGGAACCGAUUUUAGGACCGAGUAACACCAAAUCGAUGCGGUUGUCUACCGCCGAACGUUUUUCCGCCGGAAACUCGGCCGAGUUGUCCGAGUUUUCGAACAUUGGUUAAUAAUAACUACAACGGUCAUAUUUUCGAUUAUUAUUAUUAAUAGAUAUUUAUUAAUUAAUAAUAUCA
rnacentral:lncRNA from 1 species